AGACCCGAAACCCGGUGAUCUAGCCAUGGGCAGGUUGAAGGUUGGGUAACACUAACUGGAGGACCGAACCGACUAAUGUUGAAAAAUUAGCGGAUGACCUGUGGCUGGGGGUGAAAGGCCAAUCAAACCGGGAGAUAGCUGGUUCUCCCCGAAAGCUAUUUAGGUAGCGCCUCGUGAAUUCAUCUCCGGGGGUAGAGCACUGUUUCGGCUAGGGGGCCAUCCCGGCUUACCAACCCGAUGCAAACUGCGAAUACCGGAGAAUGUUAUCACGGGAGACACACGGCGGGUGCUAACGUCCGUCGUGAAGAGGGAAACAACCCAGACCGCCAGCUAAGGUCCCAAAGUCAUGGUUAAGUGGGAAACGAUGUGGGAAGGCCCAGACAGCCAGGAUGUUGGCUUAGAAGCAGCCAUCAUUUAAAGAAAGCGUAAUAGCUCACUGGUCGAGUCGGCCUGCGCGGAAGAUGUAACGGGGCUAAACCAUGCACCGAAGCUGCGGCAGCGACACUCAGGUGUUGUUGGGUAGGGGAGCGUUCUGUAAGCCUGUGAAGGUGGCCUGUGAGGGUUGCUGGAGGUAUCAGAAGUGCGAAUGCUGACAUAAGUAACGAUAAAGCGGGUGAAAAGCCCGCUCGCCGGAAGACCAAGGGUUCCUGUCCAACGUUAAUCGGGGCAGGGUGAGUCGACCCCUAAGGCGAGGCCGAAAGGCGUAGUCGAUGGGAAACGGGUUAAUAUUCCCGUACUUGGUGUUACUGCGAAGGGGGGACGGAGAAGGCUAUGUUGGCCGGGCGACGGUUGUCCCGGUUUAAGCGUAUAGGUGUGUGUUCCAGGUAAAUCCGGUUCACUUUAACACUGAGGCGUG
rnacentral:rRNA from 1 species